rnacentral:rRNA from 1 species
ACCAACAGGGAUUGCCCCAGUAACGGCGAGUGAAGCGGCAAGAGCUCAAAUUUGAAAGCUGGCUCCUUCGGGGUCCGCAUUGUAAUUUGUAGAGGAUGCUUCGGGAGCGGUCCCCAUCUAAGUGCCCUGGAACGGGACGUCAUAGAGGGUGAGAAUCCCGUAUGGGAUGGGGUGUCCGCGCCCGUGUGAAGCUCCUUCGACGAGUCGAGUUGUUUGGGAAUGCAGCUCUAAAUGGGUGGUAAAUUUCAUCUAAAGCUAAAUAUUGGCCGGAGACCGAUAGCGCACAAGUAGAGUGAUCGAAAGAUGAAAAGCACUUUGAAAAGAGAGUUAAAAAGCACGUGAAAUUGUUGAAAGGGAAGCGCUUGCGACCAGACUCGCUCGCGGGGUUCAGCCGGCAUUCGUGCCGGUGUACUUCCCCGCGGGCGGGCCAGCGUCGGUUUGGGCGGUCGGUCAAAGGCCCUCGGAAGGUAACGCCCCUAGGGGCGUCUUAUAGCCGAGGGUGCAAUGCGACCUGCCUAGACCGAGGAACGC